CCGCAAACUCUCUGGCUCCACCCCAUCACAAACCCCUCUCUGUCUCCCCCCUCCCCCCUUCCAGAUCGCCGCCGCCGCCACCUCCCCAUCAGCUCCACCAGCGAGCCCUUCCUCACCGCAUCCAUGGCCUCUCCAUGCCCUUCCUCACCGCAUCGCCACCCAGAGCCCCUCCCUUCCCCACUGCAUCGCCACCCUAAGCCACCUCCUUCACUAACCCUAUACCCGUACCUCAACCUGCACCGCAACCCGUCGGACCCCCCUUCUCCGUGGCGGUGUGCCUCCUUUCCUGAGUUCGCCAAGGACAGUGUCUGCCUCGUCAAGCGCAGCCACAAGCCUGACCGCAAGGAGUUCACCAAGGUGGCGACGUAGAUGGCAAUCGGGUUCGUCGUCAUGGGAUUCGACGGCUUCUUUGUCAAACUCAUCUUCAUCCCCAUCAACAACAUCAUCGUCGGGCACAGCUUCUCUGAUCUCGUCCGCGUCUCUGAUCUCAUCCACGACCGCGACCGCGACGGAAGUCUCCUCUGCUCGCCGGUACGGAUUCCCCCAACCCCUUCCUCCAGUCCUGGCCGGCCGGCCGAGGUUCCGAUCGGAUCCCCUCUCGCGCUUCGUCUCUUGGCGGCGGCUGCUGGCCAGCUCUCCCUCCUCUGUCUGCACCCCGUCCAGCUAGCCGACUAACUACUGGUGCCCUAUUGGCUCGCGCUCACGGGGCAAGCUACGUUCUGGUGCCUUGGACCAAACCCCAACUUCGUUUGUUCUACCUUGUGCCUGCUCAGGAUUCUAGCGGGCGUAUUAGUUUUGGCCUGUGGGAUUCUACCUUGUGCCUUGGACCAAACACCUUGCACAUGCUGCUGCUACCGCCUCCUGAAAUCAAUAGAGCUAGGCAGCCAGCUAAUCCUGUUUGGCGUGUGUAGUAGUAGUAGACGAGCAAAGAUCAUGCACUUGUAUUUCACUGUUAAAUUUGUGCAAAAGAUCUUGCCAUCUGUCCUUCAUAGUGAUGAAUGGUUGCCACCACCCUACGUAUAGGGGCACAUGCCAUUGUUCUUUAAUACCCUGUAAAAAGGGCUUUUCUUUCAUUGAUCAGUCUGAGUAGUGAAAAAUCAAAAUAGAGCUGCGACCAUAUGUUGUAAUGAAGUGGUCCGACUUGCUUCUUGGACAAGUCCUAAUUGAGAUCAUUCGUCCACCAAAUAAUUGCAUUGUACUGGUAUUCUCUCAAUCCAACCUGUGCAUACAUGUUGUAUUCAAGCUGGUCGUGGUUGAUUGAUUUGGUCAUAUGUUGCACUAGUAAUCUCAAACAUGUUGUUUCUAUUUUUGUCAAGUGAUAUGAGAUAAUUGAUUAUGCACAAUUUCCAUGGAUUCAAGCAAAGGGGAUGUAUAUCUUAAACAUUUGGUACAUCAUCUCUGUACUGUUGAACUGGUUACUUAUUGUUUAAUUUAUCAUGAUGUAGUUAGGAUAUUUAAGUAUCUAACAACAAAAACAUCAUGCACUCAAAACAUUGACUGGUAAGAAUAUAGUAUUUUUUAACUCUUUACUAUCAUCCUGUCAAAGCUUACACUUAAUUUUCUCCUUAUAAAGGUCAGAAAGGAAAAUAUAAAGAAAACCGGCACCAAUUUUUCAUUUCCUGGAACUGUUUCAGUACUGCUAGAGUCUAAUGCUUACACUAGUUUCAUUGGCGGAAAUAUUCAUCAUAUGAUAGCAACAUAGUGCAACGCUUAGCUCUUUACUACCUAGCAAUUGCCUGCACAAUUAAAUCAAUAUCUCCAUGAUUCUACAUAGAGUUGAUGAAAACUGUUGCUACAAAUGAUAGAAGCAAAAUGCAACGCCUAGCUCUUAACUACCUUAAUAUACUUGAUUCUUGAUCGGGAUUCUGAUAAUACCGAUGGAACGAAGUAUAGCUAUUAGUAGAUGCUAACUGUAAAAUCAUGUAAUUUCUAACUUUUGCCAUAUUGUUCAUUGAUGUUUGCGCCCUGUUAUUUCCGUACUGAAGGUAGGAUUUCUGUGUUAAACCUAGGCCUGUUGUUCUUUGUUUAUCUCCAUUGUUUCCCAGGUAGCUAGUUAUCUGUCUGAUUCCAUUUCCUGUCAAAAUCUGUUGUUCCACCAAUAGUUUUUACACAACACUUCUUGUAUCCAGUUUUGCUAUAAAUCUGUCAUGCAGGUGUAUGGAAGCACGAGAAGAGUGAUGGCCAUGAAGACUAUGGUCUCCUUGUUAGCGAGCCAGCCAGGAAAUAUGCCAUAGUCAAAGAGCUUGAUAGCCCUGUUACUUUGAAGGAUGGGACAGUUGUCCUGCGGUUCGAAGUGAGGCUUCAGAAUGGCCUCGAGUGUGGAGGUGGGCGGAGUCUAAAACUGCUUGUCGUUCCUGUGAUGAUGAAGAUGGAGUAGGAGGAUGAGCAGCAACAAUAAAUGAGCCUGUUGGUGAAGAAGCACAUGAUGACCAGAACUCGUUCAAGUGAUCUUUAGUCCUUCCAAAACAAGGAGCUCUAGGCCUAAUUUGUUUGGAGUGUGAAGCCAUGAAGCCAAGUGCGAAUCAGUGAAGCCCUACUUAGCACUGUAAAUUGUAAUAUUGUAACAGAUUGUAAAAGACUAAUGUAGUGUUAUUUGAUGAAUUAUAUUUUUCCCGUCCUAUUUCAAAAUAGUGAGUAUGUAUGUUAAAAAUAUGUGAAAUGGAAACUUGACCAGCGGGACCAAUUUAUGUCCCACUUA